AUGACUUUGCCACCGGGUAAAGUAUGAGAAGCGUUUGGAAGCCAUACCGUUAGGUCUUAGAAGGUAUGGGACCGGGCGCUUUUUUUG
rnacentral:ncRNA from 1 species